CACCACAUAAACACACUUCAGAUCUGGACAUAAGGGGUCUUAUAAUAGAUAAUUAUUGUAAAGGAGAACACUAGAAUGUGUGUGGAAAACCAGCUUUAACAGUAUAUCAAAAGACAUGCCUCAAUAACCCACAGGAGAAAAGCCAAGGAGUCAAGUCAAGAUAGCAGGUGGAGUGAAAAGACAAGUGGACAAGGAUGGGUGGCAAAGUAAAUGCAGUAAAAUGAAAAUAACUUGGUUCAAAUAAAAUAAAUAAACAAAUGAGAUGAGUAGAACUUUGUUCAAAUUAAAAAUAAAUAGAUAAAGGAAUUUUUUGAACAAAGGGCCUUUAUAUUUGUACAGAGUGAACACUGAAUGGAAGGUAACAAUAUUACUGAUGCUGAAAGAACUUUUGAAGACUCAUAGGGAGAAUUCAUUAAAUGACGAGUCACAGCUGCAGUUGACAGGAAAGAAACUUCAAAUGCAUUUCCUGAGAACACACCAUGGGCUACCUAAACUUAAUGAAAACAAUUAUUUCUUGAAUCUUUAUGAUUGCAGAAAAUAGUCUACACCUAGAGUAUGUAGAUUGAAAACAAUUUACUUUUUAUAAAAAAUAAUAGCAAAGAAUAGGUCUCAUAUAUCUUGAAACAUCAUUUUCAUUAGAAAAAGUAGGAGAAAGUCCUUCUCUCUCAUGACUAUCCAGAGAAACGUUAGAGUUAACAACCUAGGAAUCAAAGUGAGACUCAUAUACUAUGAUUUUAGCAAUAUUUAUAUGUUUGGGAGGUUGUAACAUACAAACUUUUAACCACAUUCAGAGCUGAGAAAAUAUGAUAAAAUGCUCAAGAAAAUUUAUGUAGUUUACAUCUGUUGCUAAGUAAAAUUUAAGUUAAUUCCAAACCUAGAAUUGAAGAAGGUACUAUGGAGAAUAAAAGGGUCAUGAUACCAAUCCAGGACUGACUGACAAUAAAUAAACAUUGCACUGUAGAAAGGGAAAUUUUACCUAUUUGUUAUUUUACAUUUGCAAAUCUAUACAGUAUGCAAAAUGUUUUAUACUACUGAGAGAAUACCAAAUUAGUGGCAUGCAGUAUUCAAACAUUCACUUUCUGUUUAAAAAUAUAUACAGUGGAAAUAGAAUAUGAGAAAACAUAUGACCAUAUUUCAUAUAUUAUGCAUACAAAGAAAGAGAAUCAGAAGAUGCAUUCUAUUUUUUGGUUAGACUAAAUACUUAAUAUUUGAACACUGAAACCAGACUAUUAAUGUGUUAAAUAAACUGCUAAAGAGAAUAAAAGGAGUAUACAUAGUUCCUCAAAUUUAUUCUAAUCCCCAGCAAUCAUGAUUGUGAUAACAAUACAUACAACUCAUCUGAACUCAAUUUAAAGAGACAAAACUUUUCAAAAUUUAUUUAUACCUAUUACUACACAUUUAUAUUCUUCAAAACAAAACCUAUGAAAACUAUUAUAUGUAUCAAAACUAUAGAAUGACCCUAACAUGCAAGUGACUGAGGAGCCUGUGUUAUAUAUAACUGACAGUGGGAUCUUGCUUCAUGUGAGAAACAGGUAUGAAGUAGUGAGCACAAGAAGAGGUGGAUUUGCCAGAUGUACCUAAGUAUAAUUUAUUCUUAGCUAUAAACAAACCAAUCUGAAGAUCCCAUGGCUUAGCAACUCUAGCUACCAUAUCUUCUCGAGCAUAAGAUAGAAGGGUCAUAUAGACACAGCUGGCUUUGUUCUCAUAGCACCACCCAAGAUGUUCCACUGGAAUUGACGAUCCCCCCCCAUUUGCAAUGCCUGAUGUUUCUCUACUAACUUAUGGGAGAAGUGUGGUUCUUCCUGUUGGCUGGGGAUCCAGGUGGUACUCUUUAUACCGUGUUUCUGCUCUUCACAGCAGAGAUGUUUGAGUCUAAAACUAACAUUCUGAAAUCCUGAGAAUUUUAUUAGAUGUUGGGAGUUUAUACAUUGGGAGUAAUAGGGCUUCACUUGCUGUGCUUCAUUGAGGAAAUCAUGCAACAACCCUUUUGAGAUUUGGGGAGGAAAUAGUCCUGUUGUAGCAGUGUGAGAGAUGACAAGAAUCACACAGUAUCAUCUUCUGGGUAUUGCAUGGCCAUUGGUGUGCUGAAAUUACAGAAAUUAAAGGAAUUUACCAAUCUUAAAUCUGAUAGGGGACUAAUAUCCGAUACAUAC
rnacentral:lncRNA from 1 species